AGCCUUGAGAGGAUAACUAUAAUCCAGCAAGGAAGGUGUUAAUUUUCUCAACCAGCCAUUAGGAGGAGCUCCAAGGUUAGUCAUUUGGCAGUCCUUGGAGGGCUGGGAGAGAAGAAUUGUUUGCCUCGUCUUUGUGAUGAGUUUUGUGAGCCUCGGGAUCCUUCGAUUGACCAGAUGGAGAUCGCUACAACCCAAAUGUGCUGGGAUCUGUUUCCAGCAGAGGAAAGCCACUGCUGGCUCUACAGCGGCUGGCGCGCCAAGUCUCAAGGAUUUCCAAGAACUCCCUGGUUUCGGGUUUGGGGGCUUCGUUUACUGGUCCCUGCUCCGGGGUUAUAUCCUUCAUUCCCACGAGUUACAGGUAAUAUAUAAGAAGCUAUAUGGACCCAUAUGGAAAUCUGCAAUAGGCAGAGAGACUUCUGUGUGCAUUGCUUCCCCUGAAAUCAUGGAGAAGAUGAUGCGACAAGAGGGGAAAUACCCUAUGAGGUAUGACAUGGCUGAAUGGAAGGAGCACCGGACCUUGAGGGGCCUAGCUUGUGGGCCUCUGACAGAGGAAGGGGAGCGCUGGUAUCACUUACGUCAGGUGCUGAACAAGAGGAUGCUGAAACCUGCAGAGGCUGUGCUGUAUGCAGAUGUCAUCAAUGAGGUGGUCUCCGACCUGAUGGUGCAUUUGAACAACGAGAGGGAGAAGAGUCCUUCUGGGGUAGUAGUCAAGGAUGUUGCCAACCAGCUCUAUCGAUUUGCCCUGGAAGGCAUUUCGAGCAUUCUGUUUGAGACCCGCCUCGGCUGCCUGCGAAAGCAGAUACCUGCAAAAACCCAAGAUUUUAUAAAUUCCAUUGGCCGCAUGUUUAAGAAUUUCGUUUUUGUCAAUGCCCUGCCCAAGUGGACCCGGGAGGUGCUGCCUUUCUGGAACCGCUAUCUGGAGAGCUGGGAUACCAUCUUUGCUUUUGGGCAAAAAUUAAUUGAUAAACGGAUGGAAGAAAUCACAGCUCAGCUAAAAGAUGGAGAAAAUCCUAAAGGCGAAUAUCUAACCUACCUACUGUCUAAUGAGAAAUUAAGCAUUGAGGAAGUAUCUGGCAGUGUGGCUGAGUUACUCAUAGCUGGCGUGGACACAACUUCCAACACAUUAGCCUGGACUCUCUACCACCUUGCUAAGGACAAUGAGAUUCAGAAUGCCUUAUUCCAAGAAGUUAUGGGUGUGGUUCCCAAAGGCCAGAUCCCUACAACUGAAGAUGUGGCCAGGAUGCCCCUGCUGAAGGCUGUCAUCAAAGAAACUCUGAGGCUGUAUCCUGUGGUGCCUAUCAAUUCCCGAGUGGCAGUGAAUGAUGUCAUCAUAGAAGGUUACCAUUUCCCCAAAGGGACAUUGUUCUCUUUCUGCUAUUUUGCCCUUUCUCGUGAUGAGACCAACUUCCUGGAUCCCAACAAAUUUGUGCCACGGCGCUGGCUGCGAGAACAGCGUACUUUGGCCCAUCACCCCUUCAGUUCCCUCCCUUUUGGUUAUGGAGUCAGGGGCUGUGUGGGACGUCGCAUUGCUGAAUUAGAGAUGCAUUUGGCUCUUGCCAGGAUUGUCCAGAAAUAUGAAAUAAGACCGGACCCACAAGGAGGUAAAGUUCAACCCUUAGCCCGUGUGACCUUGGUGGCAGACAGACCCAUCAACCUUCAGUUCCUGGACAGAUGGAUGGAUGAUUCUUCACAUGCCUUUAGAUAAGCAGCAAUAAAGGUCUUUUCUACAGCCAUAAGCUUGAAUUCCCAUCGUGCAUAUUCUAUUCCCAGUCUAGUGACUUUGUACCUUGAAUUUAUAACAGUGGAAGUAACUUUUCACAAAUUGUGUUCUAGCUCUGCUGAGAGCUUUGGGGAAAAAUAAAAGGACAGGAUAAGGGUUUUAAAAUAAAUUGCAUACCUACUGUAAGCUUCAUUUUAAGAAACUGAACAAACUGCAAUCUUUGGACUUUGCCAUCAUGGUCUGAAAAAAAUCAUUUUUCUCCCAUCUUUUUGUGCUUAACAUUCAGCCUGAUAAACAGUUCCAGGGAAUCAAGAGCUGCACUCACUCUUGGUUGCUGCAUACAUGUAUGUUCAUCCCUUGAUGGCUUCAGCAUGGUUGCUGAACAAGCUUUUCUAGAUCAGAUAUCACUCCCAAAUAAUCAUUUUGAUAUAUAUUCUCAUACUGAGAUGAAUUUGUGUGUUUAUCAGUACUUUAAAGUCAUAUUAUUCCAAAUGUUUGGAACCUAACAGGAAAAAUCCUCCAGCACACUGAAACACCCUUUUGAACAUAUCAGCCAAUGUUUCAGUUCAACAGCUAAAAGUGUAUACAUCCCACCAAAAUUCAUACCAGAAUGAUUCAAAUAUAUACAUAGCUGCAUAUAAAUUAAUUGGGAAAUCCUGCUACAUCAUAGGUGAGUGGUGAGUGGUAAGCAGGAUGUUUAUCUGGCCUACUAAGCCAACACUUCAUGAGGUCAUGUGUCUAGGGAUGACUCUCUUUAUACCAGUAGUGGCAUGAGGACUGAUGUGCUGAUGAUUCUACUCUCAUCGUUGCACACCAGUGGCAGUGAUGGAUAGCUGUGCUAUUGGGCUGGGGAACGAACAGCAGAGUCCACUUUGUUCCUAUUGUACUAGGGGGUUCUUCUAGCUAGCCCAUCAAAACCUAAGGGGGUGGUGAAAAUAUAUGCUAGGGCAAGGGUCUCUAACCUUGAUGAACCUUUGGGGCCCUUUUGACAUGUUGAGAAAGAUUAAUGGAUAUUACAACAAUAUGGCUGCUGAAGAGGACAGUAACAAAAAGUCAGGAAGGUCUAAGCUAAGCAGCUUCCUAUUAUGGCCGCAGCCAUUGCCAAAUAGGUGUGCUCCAGGCAGACCUAAAAGUGGUGCCUCCUGAGGUCUUCUGAAGUGCCCCUUGCUGAAAAACCCACAGUUGGCUGUUUGCUUUAGGGAACAGUGGAAGAAGCAAGUGGGCACAAAGCAAAACACCAGUUCCAGUUUCUAUCUUGGUGAAAGCAGCAGCUACAUCUAAAACCAACCCUCAUUUGUUGUUAGAAAAGAUGGAUUAAAUAUGCACCACUACGUUCACCCAUUUAAGUACUAUGGAUAUUUGCCAUAUAUGUUUCUGGUUUUAUUUAUGCAUUUUUAUACUGCCAGUAAAUGAGUUACAGGCAAGCCUGUCCUUACUUCUCUGUUAUAUUACUGCAAGUUACCACCUGCCUCGUCUAGAUACAGUAAGAGUCUUUUGCCUUUCAUUGCUGGGCACACUGCGCUUGGCUUUCGGGGGAGUAAAGCUGAACAUUAUGUCGUAAGUCACCAGGUAGCCGCUGUUGUACAUGUAUAACUUUUGAUCAUUGGGAUUGUAGUUCACACUUUGUGCUACAUCUGCGAGUUUCUCCAUGGUAAUUUCUAAAUUGGUUUCUUUGCUUGUUUCGGUGUUGUACAUAUAAAAUAUUAAUUCCUUAUGUGCACUCACUCGCUUGAGGGCAUACAGUAUCCCACAGAUCAUGAACGUGUUGGUUACUUCAGGCUUGUUCAAGGAAGUUUCCCAAGUCUUUGUUACCUCCAUAGUCUUAGGAUCUAAUUUCCCAAUGAUUAUCUUCCCCUUACUUUUCUCUGUGGAAUACGUUAUCCACAGGCCCUUCUCAUCACCAGCAAAAUCAAAGUCCUGCCAACCGAUACCAUUGUAGGAGAACCAGUUGUUGAAAACAGCAAGGCCCAGUUUCUGGCGUUUAAUAUGAUUGUUUGACAGCUUCUGUUUGCACAGGUUCCUGGAAUUGUAGCAGUUGUAAUACAAGGUGCCGUUGUACAAGACCAUCCCACUCCCCUGUCCACAGUUGAUAAAGUUCCAGGGAACUCAGCCCAAAGGUCGAUGCUUCCAUCAGCAGCAGUGGCAUUACCUAAAAUCCCUUUUUGUUUUAUCGCCAAAGGAAGAAGGGCCAUCAAUCUUCUUAUGCAUUUGACUUCUAAUCAGAACUUCUUUCACCUCGACCACCAUACUUUCAUUUCUUUGAGCAAUAUACUCACCAAGGAGGUUACAAUGAAGUAGAGUCGCAGCAAAGGCAUAGCCAUUGUUUCUGGAGUUUGCCACAUCUACAUGGGGGGCUUUUUUUGAACCCACUUUAUAACUGGGAAGGCUCUGGGGGAAGGAGCAGAAUGUUCCAGAGUGGAAUUUCCCUAAAGAUGGGAAUUGGACUGGAUGUUAUGAACUUUCCAAAAUUAGUUUCAUUUGCACAUUUAUGAGCCUCUCAGAGGAGGUGUUCCUAUCUAAUCAGAUAAAAUUAAACCACAAGCAAGUCGGCUACAAGUAGUCAUCUUGUGCUUUCUGCCUCCUCUGCUUCUCUUCAGAUCACAAUGAGAGUUAAUUAAGAAUCACAGAAUGAUUUUUUGGGUGUCACAGUCUACCAUGAUCCUGUCCUCCUCGCCAGGCUUUGGGUCACAAAACACGAGCCUGAGAAGAAAAAUAUAUUAAUCACUAGCGGCCCAGUGCACAAUAUUUUUGGGCAGUUGUCCACAAACGUUACAGUAUUGAAGAAACUCAGGCAAAGUUGUCCCACUAGAUUCUUUUACUAGUUCAUCUCUUUGUGGGGAAUAUAUAACUUGCUUUAUAAUUUUGAAUCCUAUGAAUGAUCUAUUGUGACCAAGUGUAAGAGCAACUUGUUCCUCCAAUCUCUAGGAGAAGCUGGGGUGUUUGGAAUGACCAGCCCCUCUGCCAGUUACAAAGAAACUUUGUCAUGCUCCCAACCCCUUUGUCUAGAGUAGCGUUUCAACUUUCAAGAAUAGCCUAAGAGGGGAAAGCAAAUCAUUAAACAAAUUGAUAAAUAUGCCAGUUUUUUAAUAGCCUGACUGGAACAAACACUGGGGGUGGUGUGGUGGAGGGGGACACAAAAUCCCACCCUGAGCAGUCAGAGCUAUUUAAUGUUGAACUAUUAAACAAAGUUAACAAA